GCUGAGCUCUGUAACGAGAGCUUGUAACCCGAGUGGGGGCAUGUGGGUGAUGCGGACGGCAGUGUCUGGUCAGACGGGUUGAGCCAGCGGGCUGUGUUGUCGGCCCGCCCAUUCCGAGUGUAGAGUUGGGCCAAGGUGUCCAUGCGGAAGCUUGGGCUUCUUGGCCCGUAGAGUGGAGAGCACCGCGUGAGGCUGGUUUGACAGAGCAGCGAGAAUCUCCCGCUCUUUGCGGUGGAAGGAUAACGGGCCGUUGCUUAGCGGGUUUAAAGAGCCCAUUGAUCAGCUCCAACCGGACCAUCACCUUU
rnacentral:SRP_RNA from 1 species